AAAAAAAAUAUACAACACACAAGGUAUAUAAAAUCUAAGAGCCCAAUGACUAGUUGGAAGUAGUGCAAAGUGAGUUCUUUUUAUUAAGUUCUUUUUAGUGAGUUGUAAGCUAAUUUGUGCUUUGAAUUUCACAACACAUCUCGCCUGCAUUUUCUAAGGUAUAGGUUCGACAUUGUGUUGAGAAUAUGGUAGCAACCUCGAAUCUUGAUGAACCAUCUUUUUCUGAUCCAAAAAAAAAUGGUGGAUUUAGUCAGGUACAUCGAAAAGGGCUACCUAUUGUCAAAGGUCAGCGGGCUUGUGAUGAGGAACCCGAGCAUAGGUCCG
rnacentral:lncRNA from 1 species